rnacentral:rRNA from 1 species
UACGUAGGGUGCGAGCGUUAAUCGGAAUUACUGGGCGUAAAGCGUGCGUAGGCGGUUCGUUAAGUGCGUCGUGAAAGCCCCGGGCUCAACCUGGGAAUGGCGAUGGAAACUGGCGGGCUGGAGUAUGGCAGAGGGGGGUGGAAUUCCGCGUGUAGCAGUGAAAUGCGUAGAGAUGCGGAGGAACACCGAUGGCGAAGGCAGCCCCCUGGGCCAAUACUGACGCUGAGGAGCGAAAGCGUGGGGAGCGAACAGG